rnacentral:rRNA from 1 species
CACGUAGUUAGCCGGUGCUUAUUCUUACGGUACCGUCAUGGGCCCCCCUGUAUUAGAAGGAGCUUUUUCGUUCCGUACAAAAGCAGUUUACAACCCGAAGGCCUUCAUCCUGCACGCGGCAUUGCUGGAUCAGGCUUUCGCCCAUUGUCCAAAAAUUCCCCACUGCUGCCUCCCGUAGGAGUCUGGGCCGUGUCUCAGUCCCAGUGUGGCUGGUCGUCCUCUCAGACCAGCUACAGAUCGUCGGCUUGGUAAGCUUUUAUCCCACCAACUACCUAAUCUGCCAUCGGCCGCUCCAAUCGCGCGAGGCCCGAAGGUCCCCCGCUUUCAUCCUCAGAUCGUAUGCGGUAUUAGCUACUCUUUCGAGUAGUUACUCCCCCAGACUCGGCGACCGUUCCGUACUAGUAUUACUCCACCCGUUCCGUCCCACCUCCGUCGACGCCGUCCGAACGACCGUCGUUACCGUUACGUACGUUCGUCGUACUGUGUAACGGCGAUCGCCGCC